GCUUUUUAACUGGAUGUGAUUCCAUUUGUCCAUUAUUGUCUUGGUUGCCUGUGCUUGUGGGGUAUUGCUCAAGAAUGUUUGCCCAGAUUAAAGUUCCGGAGAUUUUCCAAAAUAAGUUUUCUUUUAGUAGUUUCAUAGUUUGAGGUCUUAGAUUUAAGUCUUUAAUCCAAUUUUAUUUUUGUAUAUGGUCUCAUUUAUUCUUCUGCAUAUGGAUAUACAGUUUUUUCAGCACCUUUUAUUAAAGAGUCUGCUUUUUCCCCAAUGCUGAAGAAGAUCCCAGUGAUGUAUACACAAAGAACAGACCCUGUGAGGAUGCAAUGAGAAGGCAGCCAUGGAGGGGGCACUUGGGAGAAACUAAAACUUCUGACACCUUGAUCUUAGGCUUCCAGCCUCAAGAACUGUGAGAAAACAUAUUUCUCUUGUUUAAGCCACCCAAUAUACAGUAUUUUCUUAUGGUAUGCCUAGGAAAUUAUGCAGUAAAUAUUUAGCUAGAGUAUCCUUGGAAGUUGCAAGAAAUAUCAGAAUCAGUAAACUCUUCUAGACUCCAGAUAUCUAGAGGACAAAUUUUCAAGCACAUAGAUCAAAUCCA
rnacentral:lncRNA from 1 species